rnacentral:rRNA from 1 species
GACAAACGCUGGCGGCGUGCUUAACACAUGCAAGUCGAACGGAAAGGCCCUGCUUUUGUGGGGUGCUCGAGUGGCGAACGGGUGAGUAACACGUGAGUAACCUGCCCUUGACUUUGGGAUAACUUCAGGAAACUGGGGCUAAUACCGGAUAGGAGCUCCUGCUGCAUGGUGGGGGUUGGAAAGUUUCGGCGGUUGGGGAUGGACUCGCGGCUUAUCAGCUUGUUGGUGGGGUAGUGGCUUACCAAGGCUUUGACGGGUAGCCGGCCUGAGAGGUUGACCGGCCACAUUGGGACUGAGAUACGGCCCAGACUCCUACGGGAGGCAGCAGUGGGGAAUAUUGCACAAUGGGCGGAAGCCUGAUGCAGCAACGCCGCGUGCGGGAUGACGGCCUUCGGGUUGUAAACCGCUUUCGCCUGUGACGAAGCGUGAGUGACGGUAAUGGGUAAAGAAGCACCGGCUAACUACGUG